UUUGUCUUCAUUUAGCAGCUGUCUUCUCUGGGGAAGCCAUUUUGUAGAAGUGUUUGUCACAGUGCAACAACUACCGGUUUGGGGAAAUUGCAGUUUGGAACGGGAACUCAGGUUAUGGUUACCCCAGACAUCCAGGACCCAAAACCAGCUGUGUACCAGCUAAGAGAUGCUCAGGCCAAGAACAGCACCAUCUGCCUGUUCACCGACUUUGGUUCCCACGUCAACAAGUCAGAGGACGUGCCACCUGGUGUGUUUGUCUCCAACAACACCGUGCUGGACAUGCGGUCUAUGGAUUCCAAGAGCAACGGGGCCAUUGCCUGGAGUAACCACAGUAGUUUGAACUGUAAAGACGCCUUCAGACAGAACGCCGCCUACCCCAGCUCAGAUGUUCCCUGUGAUGCCAAGUUGAUAGAGAAAAGCUUUGAAACAGAUAUGAACCUCAACUUUCAAAACCUGUCACUGAUGGGACUCCGAAUCCUGCUCCUGAAAGUGGCCGGAUUUAACCUGCUCAUGACGCUGCGGCUGUGGUCCAGUUGAGGUUUCCAGACUGAAGGAGGCUGAACUCCCAAGCUCCUUUCUCUUCAUCACCCCUCCUCGCCCUCUUCAAGUGGAAAAAGAGCCCGCCCACCUCCUAAAGAAGGCUCUGAGCAGCUCACAACCCCAUCAACUGGAUCUCCUGAAUCUGUGAUGGAGACCGCUGAAGAGCCGCUACUACCCCCACUUCCUCACUGCUGCCGCCCACUCAAGACAGGCAGGGGCUGCUGCUUCUCCUGGAUGUGAAGACCCUUCACACACACCCCUGCUCUCCCCCACCCCCACCCCUGCGACUGCAGUUCCUCGUGAAUGUUGUAAAGAGCAUGUUUUUGUUUUUGGUUCUUUUAAAGCAUCCAUAAAGAAAUACACAUUACUCUUUCCUCAAGAUGUAGAAAACUUAACUC